rnacentral:rRNA from 1 species
UACGGGGGGAGCAAGCGUUGUUCGGAUUUACUGGGCGUAAAGGGCGCGUAGGCGGUCGUGACAAGUCACUUGUGAAAUCUCCGGGCUUAACUCGGAACGGUCAAGUGAUACUGUCGUGCUAGAGUACAGAAGGGGCAACUGGAAUUCUCGGUGUAGCGGUGAAAUGCGUAGAUAUCGAGAGGAACACCGGUGGCGAAGGCGGGUCUCUGGGCCGAUACUGACGCUGAGACGCGAAAGCGUGGGGGAGCAAACAGG